UAGGGAAUCUUCGGCAAUGGACGGAAGUCUGACCGAGCAACGCCGCGUGAGUGAAGAAGGUUUUCGGAUCGUAAAGCUCUGUUGUAAGAGAAGAACGAGUGUGAGAGUGGAAAGUUCACACUGUGACGGUAACUUACCAGAAAGGGACGGCCAACUACGUGCCAGCAGCCGCGGUAAUACGUAGGUCCCGAGCGUUAUCCGGAUUUAUUGGGCGUAAAGCGAGCGCAGGCGGUUAGAUAAGUCUGAAGUUAAAGGCUGUGGCUUAACCAUAGUACGCUUUGGAAACUGUUUAACUUGAGUGCAGAAGGGGAGAGUGGAAUUCCAUGUGUAGCGGUGAAAUGCGUAGAUAUAUGGAGGAACACCGGUGGCGAAAGCGGCUCUCUGGUCUGUAACUGACGCUGAGGCUCGAAAGCGUGGGGAGCAAACAGGAUUAGAUACCCUGGUAGUCCACGCCGUAAACGAUGAGUGCUAGGUGUUGGGUCCUUUCCGGGACUCAGUGCCGCAGCUAACGCAUUAAGCACUCCGCCUGGGGAGUACGACCGCAAGGUU
rnacentral:rRNA from 1 species